AGGUGCGAUCAUACCACCAGCACUAAUGCACCGGAUCCCAUCAGAACUCCGCAGUUAAGCGUGCUUGGGCGAGAGUAGUACUAGGAUGGGUGACCUCCUGGGAAGUCCUCGUGUUGCACCUU